rnacentral:tRNA from 1 species
GCACUUCGCUUACACCGAAAUCAUGUCUGUUUAACUCAGAUCAUUUUGA